UUUCCUUCUCCUUAUUAAUUUUUUCAUAUUUAUGUUUAAACAUUGAGGACAAUGUUUGGGAUAGGUGUGGGGGUAUUUACUGCUAGGUUAUAUUUUUGCAUUGAUUACAUUAUAUUUUUGCUUUCUUUUUUGUUUCAUUUUGCAUCUUUUUGCCCCAUAAACACACACCAAAAUUUUUUCUUUUUUCACACAUUUUUUUCUUCACACACACACAUAGAAUUUUGACUUAGCUUUUACUCUACUCAGCAUAGAUAACAAGGUUAAAAGAGCUUCCUAUCUCAUGACCCCAUUGAUUAUCCAACCCUUUAAACCUAAAUUGAACCAUGCACAGUGUGUAGCCUUUACUUAGGAAGUUUUUCUUCUUGAAUUGAGUUCUUGAAACUGCUGUGGCCAAUAGGAAAGGAAAAUAAAAUACAUGCAAUAAAAGUUAGUGUAAUUCUCUUUGAGUUGAUUUUCCCAAAUUGAUAUAAAAAGGAAAAAGAAAAAGAAAAACUCAGCAAAUCAAAAAGCACAACCUGUUCCUAUGAUCUAAGGCUAUGAACUGAGCUAAUAGUCACUUGGACAAGUGACCAACUGAGUAACCGGAG
rnacentral:lncRNA from 1 species